GUCUAUGGCCAUACCACCCUGAACGCACCUGAUCUCGUCUGAUCUCAGAAGCUAAGCAGGGUCAGGCCUGGUUAGCACUUGGAUGGGAGACCACCUGGGAAUACCAGGUGCUGUAGGCC
ensembl:rRNA 5S_rRNA 5S ribosomal RNA